UACGUAGGGGCAAGCGUUGUCCGGAAUCAUUGGGCGUAAAGCGCGUGUAGGCGGCCCGGUAAGUCCGCUGUGAAAGUCGGGGGCUCAACCCUCGAAUGCCGGUGGAUACUGUCGGGCUAGAGUGCGGAAGAGGCGAGUGGAAUUCCUGGUGUAGCGGUGAAAUGCGCAGAUAUCAGGAGGAACACCAAUUGCGAAGGCAGCUCGCUGGGA
rnacentral:rRNA from 1 species